GGAAUAGGGCAAUGACGACGGCCAUGAACCCAUAGAUGGUCGUGAACACGUUGUUGAGCGUGUAGUCGGUGAACUUGGUGACAGGCCCAACGCAGCGGCCGGCAUCGGUGUCGUUUGGGUUAACGAGCGAGUUGGCGAACGUGAGAUUGGUGCAGAAUGAGCCACCGAACUCGACGGUGUCGUUGGGCGUGAACCAGCCGCAGCAAGAGAACUUGUCCUGAAUCUCAAUGCGGGUUUCAGGCGACGCGGCCUGGAAAAUCUUGAGAUAAUUGGCCCGUUG
rnacentral:misc_RNA from 1 species